CCCUUAGAUGUUCUGGGCCGCACGCGCGCUACACUGAUGCAUUCAACGAGCCUAUCCUUGACCGACAGGUCCGGGUAAUCUUUGUAUCUGCAUCGUGACGGGGAUAGAUUAUUGCAAUUAUUAAUCUUCAACGAGGAAUGCCUAGUAGGCGCAAGUCAUCAGCUUGCGUCGAUUACGUCCCUGCCCUUUGUACACACCGCCCGUCGCUCCUACCGAUUGGGUGUGCUGGUGAAAUGUUCGGAUCGGCCGUUUGUCGCGGUUUCCGCGGCUCGUGGCUGAGAAGUUCAUUAAACCCUCCCACCUAGAGGAAGGAGAAGUCGUAACA
rnacentral:rRNA from 1 species